rnacentral:lncRNA from 1 species
GAGAAGAUGAAGCAGCCCGUAGCUACUGCCACGACGAGCAGCAGCAGCAGUCCGUCCAACACCUGCUGCGAAGAGCAGUAGCAGAACUACGUCGAGACAGCAGCGGCGGUGGCGACAGGCAACAGCAGUGGCGGCGACAGGCAGCAGCAGCGCGGACAGCCAUAGACGACGACAUGGUCGACGUCGAAGCUCGUCCAUGGCUGUGUUCGUUUGGUUGUUUGGUUGAGACAGAAGCAGCAGCGACGGGGCUUCGAACAACAGAAGGAACAA